CCCCCCCCCCCCCCCCCCCCCGGUCUUGUUUUGUUUCUUCCUUUUGUUCAUGUAUGAAAGUCAAAAGUAACUUUUGGUUUCGUUCUGUUGGUUCAGUUUUGUUCCAUGGAUUGCCAACCUCAGCUCUGCUGACGAGAGACAAACUCGGGGGGUGGGGUGGGACAGGGAGGGGACACGGCUGAGGGAGGGCCUGGAGCUGGGACAGGACAGAGCGAGGACAGUCGGACUGGCAAGCUGGCUGUGGCCACCUGGGGCCACCUGGGGCCACCAACAGGGACCAAUCCUGGAGAGCUGGACCGUGAGAACCCGGCUGUGGCCACCUGGGGCCACCCAAGAAUGACCGAGUGGAUCCUCAGCUGCUGCUGACUCUGGGGGACCAAAAAUCACCCAAAGCCUCGUCCAGAGCAACAGUGACCAAGGGACACGGCCAGAGGUGGACACGGCGGAGAUGGACACACGGACACGGCCAGGGAUGGACGUGUCAGAGAUGACCAAAGCAGAGAUGGACACGGCCAGAGGUGAACAGAGCCAGAGGCGGGCACGCUCCAGAGAUGGACACAGGCAGGGGUGGACACAGCAGAGAUGGACACAGCCAGAUGUGGACACAGCAGAGAUGGACACAGCAGAGAUGGACACAGCCAGAGGUGGCCACAGCAGAGGUGGGCAGAGCCAGGGAUGGACACAGCAGAGAGGAACACAGCCCGAGGUGGACAGAGCCAGAGGUGGCCACAGUGGAAAUGGACACAGCCAGGGGUGGACACAGCCAGAGUCGGCCACCCCCAGGGACGCUCUCCCAGCCCCACGGCUCUCCCAGGCCAGCCGGUGUCCCCUGCCACCCCCGGGGGACAGCACCGACCCCGCGGGGGCUCCGUGGUCCCCGCAGCCCCGCCCCGCCGCGCACGGCCGCAGCAGAUCGGGUCCUUCGUGUAUUUAACGCUUCUAACCCGCUCCCCCGGCACCCGCGGGCCCCCCUAGCGCUGUAGGGCUUCCCCUGACCCCCCUUCCUGCGGGAUUGUCGCUUCUGUGUUCGCCUCAUCGCCGUCUGCUCCGGGCCGCGCGCCGGGUCUGUAAAUACGGAGCCGCACCAUAAUUUAUUCAGCUAUAUGGAGUAGAUUUAGUAGGAAGAGAAACUGGUUUUGCUUUAACUACCUGCUGCCUGUAGGUGUCUUUCUGUAACUCAGGCAUAACU
rnacentral:lncRNA from 12 species